UUAGGGUUUUUAUUUUUCUUAUAAUUUCCUUCACUUUUUUUAUUUCCCUCUUUAACGCUUUGUCAGGUUUUAGUCUCCGGUGAAUUUAUACCACGUCACUCGCCCUUAUACAACCUUUUUCUUUCGUAAUUUUUAUAUAAACUUUUUGUUUCCUAAUUUCCAAUUCCCAUGCUCCAAUUUUCAAAGAAGCCCUGGAACGCUCAAAACCCCCCGUGCUUGAACCAGUAGAUGCGCUCACGAGGAAAUAGAGCGGCUUGAGCGCCUCGCUGUUAAGGACUUGCAGCAUGAGCCAUCGAUGACUAGAGAGAGAUUGUUUCAGAACCAUCGAGUUCGUGGUUUUGUCGAUAAGAUUAUUCACACUACCGAUGAACUCGUUGAGCUCUACGACGACAAGGAUAAUCUUAGGAAAGAUGAGAUUGCUGCUCUUGGAGGUCAAACUGCAAGUGGGCAGAAUGUGUUCAGCUCCUUCUAUGACAGAUUGAAAGAGAGAAGAGGAUUGGGUUCAGCCUCUUAGAGUCUGCCAUUGCAACUCAACAUGUGGAUUUCAUGGUAUGCAGCCCGUGCAUUGCACGGGUACAAACGAGUGAGAGAGGAUUGUGGAUCCGUUUUUUGGUGGAGUCUUAGAUUGUAUAGAGUGAUAAACUCAGAUGGAUAAUCCCUUCUUUUGUGGAUUGUCUGAUUGCAUUGACGUAAGAUGAUUUAAAUCCCUUAUUUUGUGGGAUUAUCUUAAAGAAUUCGAGGACUGUGAUAUGUUGGUGCGACCCACAUAAGGUGAGCAGAAGGUAGCAUAGAUGCUUAGUCUCCUUUACUCGAAGAGAAUAUAUGUAUACUCUUCUUUACUUAAACAUUAUAAAUUUCGAAAGGCUCAGUCUCCUAACUUAAAUAGAAUAAGUGAUACCUCUUAUCGUUCAAGAAAAUCGUAAGAAUCACCUUUAAUGGUCUCUUGUACCCUCUGGUAUUUUCUCUGUGGCUUCUUUCUACAAAAGACUUAUCCAACCGCCCACUUUCCCGCUUAAUCCCCCUUCUGUAGUAUCCAAGGUUUGGUCCACAAUAGCACCUCCUAGAGUGCAAACUUUCAACUGGAUAGCGGGGUCCUAAAGGGCUCUUACAGUGGAUCAGCUUCAAAAGAAAGGGAUUCUUAUUCCCGACACAGGGAUUCUUAUUCCCGACAGAUGUGUCAUGUGUCUAUGCGAGGAAGAAUCAAAUCCUCACCUCUUCAUUCAUUGUAACAUGGCCCACGAUCUCUGGGGUCAAAUGUUGCAGCUAUUCGGGGUCCAAUGGGUUAUGCCUCCGACAGUCAAGGAUCUUUUAUCUUCGGACUCUGCUCCUCACUGGCCGGAGCCUGGACGAAUCCUUUGGAAGGCUGUCGUGGCGGCCACCGUUUGGGUUAACUGGAAAGAGAGAAAUUCCAGGAUAGUCCAAGGCCUUACUACCCAAGGUCCAGCAUUAUUCCACAAGGUUACGUGCUUAGAAACUUUUUGAGCAUCCAAUCAGCGGAUCUUUUCGGGGUUCUCAGUAAAUACUUUCCUAAGCCAAUGGGAAAACAUCCUGCACCACCGUCCAUGGAAGACGCAAAGAUCUCACAACUGGCAACCACCCCCAGAAAGAGUUAUAAAGCUUAACUUCGAUGGUUGCUCUCUGGGGAACCCCGGUCAUACAGGUGCGGGAGGUGUCUUCAGAGACCAGCACUGCACAAUCUUGUUAACUUACUCCGAGUAUUUUGGCUUUCAAGAUUCUCAGUAUGCCGAAGCUUCUGUUCGGCAUGAAAAGUUUUAAUCAUUCUUGGGGGCGAUACCUUAUAGUGGAGGGAGAUGCACGUAAUAUUAUAUCAUGAGCAACCGGGAGAUCCACUCCUCUAUGGUAUCUCGCUUCGAUUUUUGAUGCGAUCGCAUACAUCUGCAGGGAUAUGGUCGUCUUAUGGAUGCAUACCUCGAGGACAUUAAACGAGUUAGCCUAUCUCUUGGCAAAGGAUGGGGCUAGGGCCCAACUUGAAGACCAAACCCGGUCCAUCUCGUUUUUUGCUUUGGACCACAGAGGGUACACGCAGUAGUUGCAAACUUAUAAGCCCAUUUUUUAUAAUCUCAAUGUAAAUCUAUUGUAAUUGGGCAAAUCUAUGAGCCCAUUUUUGUAUAGGGGCGACUGACCUAUUUUUUACUGAGAGCCCUGUCUAGUGGGGACUCUUGGAUUUAAACCAAUUUUUACUCCAACUCUUUAUAGCAAUACAAAUGUUGACUUGUAUAAAAAAAGAUCAUUAAAAAAUGGAUCCAACAUUGUUUUCGUGGGAAGAAUGGUUUAUAAGAUAUUUGGUGUGAAGAAAAGUAGUAUAGUGGUUUAUAUGAAAGGGUUUUAGUCCAUCUUUGUACAAUAUAUUGCUAAAACCCUAUACAGAAUCGUGCACAAACACAUGCAGGUAAUCGAGUGGAGUUGCAAAGGCAUGUCAGAAAUAUCUUGAAGGCAUUUGGAUCUCAUUCCAGGAUAACAUACAGGGUGGGGGAUGGAUGGUUGCCACGUUGUGGCAGGACUCUUGGUGGUGAUGAUGGCUGAGUGGUGGGCUGGCUGGCUGGUGAACUGCUUGAGAAUCAUUCUCUUCCAUUUACAAGAGUAUCAUUAUAAGGGAAUGGUCACUGAUGGGUGCUUGGAGAAUGGGGAUAGCUAAUUUCACUAGAGUAUCAUUAUAAGGGAAUGAGUCACUGACGGGUGCUUGGAGUUGCAAAGGCAUGUCAGAAAUAUCUUGAAGGCAUUUGUAUCUCAUUCCAGGAUAACAUACAGGGUGGGGGGGGAUGGAUGGUUGCCACGUUGUGGCAGGACUCUUGGUGGUGAUGAUGGCUGAGUGGUGGGCUGGCUGGCUGGUGAACUGCUUGAGAACCAUUCUCUUCCAUUUACAAGAGUAUCAUUAUAAGGGAAUGGUCGCUGACGGGUGCUUGGAUAAUGGGGAUAGCUAAUUUCAUGAGCAUUGCUAGGAGGUUUUUGUUAAUAAGAGAUCUCAAUGAGUAGAGUUAUUUGGUUUUUGGAGGAGCUUUGUAUUCCAAUGGGAAGUAGAAGAAUGAAGAUAUUUGAGUUUGGUAUCAGAGCCUUCUAUUUAGUUUACUGGGUGAUUCUAAGGAGUGUUCUAAUGUAUAGUUACCAUGAUCUCCUACUUUGGUGGGCCAUCCCUUCUAGGAUCUCGAUUUUGUCGCUCCCGGAACGGAUCUCUUGAUGUUUUUUUGGGAUCUCGAACUCCACUCAUAGGGAUCUCGAUUCCUACUGUUGGGGAUCUCGACACCAACCUUAAAAACCAACACAACAACAAAAUUGAUGAUUUUCUUUGUUUAUAGCCAACUAGGAACACAAUUAUUGCUUGCUUGCUUGCUAUUAAUAAUGAGAUCCCUACUUUAAAGAAAUACAUAAUUCUAGAUUACCAUACACUUUAAGGUUGGUAACAAGAUUAUCAUACACUUUUAAGGUUGGUAACAAAAUCCCCAAAAAGUUGGGAUCAAGAUCCCCAAAAUUGGAAUCUCGAUCCCUAACAUUUGGGAAUCGCGAUCCUUAACAUGUGCAUUGUACGGAUGGCGUUCCUAGCUAUAGGGACCUUCUAGCAUUUCACGAUCCCUCGCUCCCGAUCCCAACAACUAUACCCUAAUGCAAUGAAAACUUGUUAAACUUACUCAUUGUCGUCAUCAUCAUCAUCAUCAUCAUUUGAGCCUUAUCCGAACUAUUUGGGUCGAUUGCAUGAAUCUUGUAUUGCCAUUUCGCUCUAUCAAGGGCCAUAACCUUAGUCAGAACAUAGGUCACUAUAUAUUUUUUCACUACUUCCAUUCAUAUCCUUUGGGGCCUUCCCUUUACUCUUUUAUGGUCACCACUUGAACCAAAUCACCCCUUCUAAUCAAUAUUGUUCUAGGUUGACACGCUGCACAUGAUCAGACCAGCUAAAUCUACUUUCUCCCAUUUUAUCACCUAUUGGUGCUACUCUUAAGUUCCCUCGAAUUUCUUUAUUUUGAAUUCUAUCCUCCUUAUCUUGUCACACAUCUAUCUCAACCAUGGAUGUGUUGUUCCUCGUGCCUAACAUUCCGUCCCAUAAAGAUAGAACUUCCCCUAAAAUUUUAUCAAUAUGCAACGAUGACAUAAGACUCCAAAAGCACAUCUCCGCUUCAUUCACCUAACUCUAAUUUAUGAGCAACAUCUUCCUCAAUCUGUACUUUGUUAUGGAUUAUCAACCUAGAUAUCGAAAAGAAUAUAUUUUAAGUACUUAUUGGCCAUCAAUAUUAACUAAAUCCUUGUUUCUGCUCCUAUUAUUUCUAAGUCUGCAUUCUAUAUUUAUAUUUGUCUUAGUCUAACUGAUUUUAAAAUAUUUAUAUUCUAAAGCAUCCCUUCAAAGUUCUAACUUUGUGUUUACACCCAUGUUGGAAAAAUCGGGCGAUCUAACCGGUAACCGCCCGGUUAGAUUGGAACCGGUCAUUGGCCGGUUUUAGUUUUGGGAAGUUUUGGUGAUCAGCUGGUAUUUUAACAAAAAAAUUUCAAAAAAAUGUAUAUAAAAUCCCAAAAGUAAGAAAUUUGGUUUGUAUGCACUUUUUAAUGUUCUUUACAUAUUGGUAAAGAUUAGAAAUUGUUUUGGUCAUUAAUACUCACUUUUAUAUUUUCCCAUCUUUUUUGAAAUUUUUUAAAAAUACUCCUAAGCACAAAUUGAUUAUUUAAAAUCCAAAAUUUUGAUUAAUUUUCAACGUCAUUUGAAUGUGUUCUUAUUUUAAUCAUUCUUUAUAUGCUUUUCAUAUUUUAGUAGAUUUUUUUUUUUUUUUUUCAACAAUUUUUUGACUUCUUGGGACUUGCCUGGUUAAAACGGUUGAAUCGUCCGGUUUACCGGUUGAGCCGGUUAAACCGCUUAGGGCCCCAUGUCCGGUUAACUGUUCCGGUUCGAUUUUGUGAACACUGGUUUACACCGUCUUUAGUAUCAUCACAAAAUUACAUCUAUAAGCUUACUCAUCACAAAAAAAAGAAGAAGAAAAAAGUAAAAAGAAAAAAGAAGAAGCUUCUUAUUGUCUGGAUGGGUCCUCGCUGGGGAUAGGAUACUUGUUAGAAACAUUUUCUGGACCAAGGCUUACUAUUCUGCAAUGUUCACAUGAGAGAGGAAGAGAUUAUUGAGCACUUGCUUUUCCACAAUGGCUUUUGUUCAAAGGAUUUAUCUUCUUUCUAAGGCUGUUUGGGUUAAUUAGGUGAUUAGGUCCUUGCUACUUCUGCAAUAGCACGAGAGAACGCAUGAAAAGAGAAACAAACCUUCACAGAGCAAGGAAGUGAUUGAAGGUUGGGCAUUUUUGAAGCUUAAAAGGUGUGCCCCGAAAGAACUUUUAGUGAACACCCUUUUUGCGUUGCUCUUGGUAAGCAAGCUACCUUGCAUUCUAAAGCUCGAAGCUUAGCCAAGGGAAGAAAGCAACUCAGUGUGAAAUGAGAGUGGAAAGAAGUGGCAGAGAUGAGGGUAGGCAAGGUUCGCUGACUCAUUGAGCUGCUGCUUUGAUAGUAGAAUAAGAGGUUACUUAGCUUAGUAUCUUAGCUCGAUAGAGUUAAGGGAAGGAGAAGAAAGCGGCAACUGCUUCUUGCUUUCCUGCUUCUCGCUGAGUGACGUGCUUACUAUCUGCUUCUAGCUUCGCUUAUGCCUCUCGUUUGGUUUGCUAGCACAGCUUUGAAAGUAGAAGACAACGAACAAGUAGAAGGAGAAGCAAGGUACAAAGCUACAACUAGUUCUACACCUUUAGCUUUUUAAGCUAAGAUAGAAAGUUUAUAAUCUUGUUUGGUACGCUUAAGAUUGCUUUUUUGCUUUGGCUUUACUUGGUAUGCUUAAGAGUGCUUGUACUCGCUAGAGGGCUUUGACGCUCGUUACUUUGUUUCUUAGCUUCAACGAUUUCCAGCUUUGCGCUUUGCUCACUUACGUUAGUUUUAGGGCAUCAACAACCUAACUCCUCCUUUCGCUACGCUUUGUGCCUUCCACGUCACUUUGUUCCUUCUACCAACAAGCUAAGGAGCUGAGUGAAGACAUACGCUUUCGCUUCGCUCACUUACGUUAGGGCAACCUCUAUACCUUUGCUACGCUUGCUUUGUGCCUUUGCUUUGCUUACGCCUCUCACUGACUCAUUUGCUAGCACAGCUUUGAAAGUUGAUUUACUACCUGUAGCUUUUUUCUUCCCAAUGCAGUGGGUCCAUUGCUUGAUUCUAUUUAUGUAUCUGUUAGCCUGCAGAGUAAUGGCCGGAUUUUAGAGGAUUGGCUUCUUCAUAGCAGAGUAUUCAUGAUAGAAUUU